rnacentral:rRNA from 1 species
AUAUGGAAAGCUCGCAUCCCCCCUAAGAUUAAAGUGUUUCUCUGGCAAGCCUCUCGCGGGCAUCUUCCUACGGGUGACCAAAUCCGUAAACGUAAUGGUCCGGGUUCUGACUGCUGUGUUCUAUGUGGGACGAGAGAAGAUACACCUCAUAUUUUUUUUAACUGCGUCCUGGCUAAGCUGUUUUGGUGUUGUAUCAGAUCAUGGUUG